GGGCUCUCACCACACCCUCCAUGCUGCCUUCACACUCCGGUGCCUUCAGCUCUUGCUCCUUCUCGCUGCAGCUGUGCUGUGGCACUGGGCAGAUGCCAGGCCUGGGCACUGGGUCUGCACCCCCCACGCAGUUUGGGGGAGCCCCUUGCCCUCAGAGGAGCAGGAUGGGGGUGAGGAUGUGUCCCCAGCACGCCUGGAUUUAGGAUGCUCUGGAAGAGGAACUGAGCUGUGAUUUGGAGGCAGCAGGCUCACCACCUUCUCCAGGGCUUGUCAGACAGAGGAACCAGCUUUUAACAGCAGGGUUUGUCCCCGUGGCAAAGUGGGGCUGUGCCUUCCGCGGAGCAAGGCUGGCUGUCCUCAAGCACCGUGCCCUGCCCUCCUGCUCUUCGUGACCUUCUUUCUGUGAAGGCACAAGGCAGCGGAGAAGAUGUUGCCAGAAAUAAUCCCUUUGCGUGGGUACUUAGACUUGUCCUGGUGGGAAGGGGAUCUCCUGGCCCGGGCGGGAGGUGAUGGUUAGCGGCGGUGCGACAGGAGCGGCUGCAAGGUGGACAUCUGUCUCCUCACAACUACAGUGAGACCAAUGCCUUAUUCCUGUGCGAGAAUUCAUCAGCUGGAAACGACUUUCUGUCUCUAUUGACCCUGGGCUGGAGCUGAGCCAGGGACGUGGAGGGAAAAGGGUCAAUUUACCCAUGAAAAAUGCUCCUGAGGUACCUUGAGCCUCUCUGUGCUUCAAACACUGGUGGGACCGUGGACGUGGUGUGCGUGGGGAGGUGCUGGUAGGACUGGAGCACCUAGUAAGGGUGCAGGGAGCCCUGCUGAAACUUCAGGUGAUGCCCAUGAGCUGAGAUGUGGGAGAACUGCGCUCUCUCUCUCUCUCUCUCUCUCUCUCUCUCUCUCUCUCAUUUUUGGUGGCAUACCAAAAAUGUCAGGGAGAGUGGCAGCUCGGCUUGCCUCCUGCCAGGAUCCUGCAGCCCACCAGCAGCUUCACCGUGGCCCUGGAAAGCUGUCAUCCACUGAUAUGGCACAAGUAGAGCUGUUUCACUGAAAAAUAACCAGACAAAACACCCUCUGUUGUGCUUCCACUCGAUGUGCUCUUGGUGAAUCCACGGCUGUGUGCACCAGGGUGUGCCUGGGUCAUGCUGCAGAUGGAGAGAGGGGAGGAGGAAUGACAGAAAUGGGACAAGAGCCAGCAAAGACUGACUAGCUGGAGAAGGAAUUGGGGUAAAAAUGUUUAAGCUUGUUAGGAGGGCCAGCUACAUCCCAGAAGACUUUGCUGCAAAAGCCAAGGCUGCCAGGAUGUGUGUGGAGAAAGGAUCAAGAAAUCUUCAUCUGGAUGCAGAUGAUCCCCAGACAACCCAGACCCUGGGGGAAUUAACCACAAGAGGAAGAACUUGAAUUGGAGGAGGAAAGGAUGAGCCAGCUGUAAAGAAAGGAGGAGAGAGUGUGGAGGCUCUGAGGAUGGAUUUUUGGAGUAGCUUUGGGCUCUAUUUGUUGGAAACCGCUCCUUUGUCAAACAGAGAGCGUGUGGGGAAGGCCAGGCUGGAUAAAUCUCCCCAGUUUGAAAGCAGGCAUCUAGAAACGCUCCAGGAUGUCCAUUCCUGUGAUUUGUAAGCGUCCAAAACAGUGAAGAGUUGGUUCAAAGGACUUUUUGCCUAGGAAAUGUGAGUUUGCAGUGCAACACGUAAAGACAAAAAAAUGAAGCAAACCCUGAUGACUGAAUCCAGUCAGGAUUUCUGGUGGGGUGGGUUUGGCUCCCAUCCUUUCCUUGCAGCUCUUCUGGCCACCUCUGUCUUUGCAGUGAGGACAACAGCUUUUUGGGGUGACAAAGCUCUUUCCUAUCAUUCCUAGCAAGAAAGUGUCUGAAAUUCAGAGCGCCAAAAGGGGAUUCAGGAAACUGGAAAUUCAGUCCCAUUGAAAACUCAGUCUUGCCCAAAUUCUGGUUUUGGGAUUGCUGUCACUGGCUCCCAGCCCUGAUUUUCCAGCAAGGCUCCAGCCCUGGAAUGUAGGGGACAUCCUCAGCCUGGCACAGGCAUCACCCCCAGAGCUCUGGGACAUCAGGUGGAAUGUUCCAGAAUUACCUGGCACUGGUGCAGUUCAGUUUGGGAAGUGCUCCCACAAGAUGCUUAGCUGGAGACCAUGGCUGGGAGCUGGGGCCUUGGUCUGAUCCAACAGCGAUAAUCCAAGUGGAGCUGUGGGAAUGCGUUUGACAAAAGGUGUGUGUGGUCAGCAGGUGAGAUUUGGGGUGUGAGGCUCCCUGGGUGGGAUUUGGGGGUGCAGUGGGGUGUGAGGCUCCCUGCAGGUGAACCUGGCUGGUGUUGGAGGCUCCUGGCAGGGCUGGGUGCCAGCAGAUGCCACUCCAGAAUGUUCCACUCAGCUCCCUGCUCUGCUCCCAGAGGGCUUCCCUGAGCUGGGGCUGGCUGACCUCCAGCCCUGCCCUCCAUCCCCUCCUGUGCCCCACAUCUCCUGCUCUUCAUCCAGCUGCUUUCCAGCCUCUGCUUUGUUUUCCUGGCGUGCUGGGUGUGAAGUGUGAGGCCAGAGUGGGCUGCCCAGCGACUCCAGCCCCAGGUUUUGGGGCUCAGACUGGGGAGGAGAGCUGGGAGCAGAAUCCUGCAGAGGCUGUUUGUUUUCUGUCCCUUGCGUGGUAGGCUCUCACCUCUGCCUCAAAUUACAAGUCAUGUCACAUCUUGGGAGUCUUGAAAUUGUGUUUCUCAGCAAUGUUCCCAAAGAGAUUAGAAGCACUGAGAUGGCUGAAAUACCCUCUGAGCCCGGAGCAGAACAAGCCACUGAAAAAGGAAUGGGGUGGGGAAAGAGCCGCAGCAUCCUCACCAGGGUGGAGGGGAGGGCUGGGGGCGGCUCAGGGCCGGUCCCUCCCCAAAUCCCUCCCGGCUGGGCUGUGCUGGUUCAUCCUGCUGCUCGUGGGAUGUGGGAAGAGCAGGGGCAGCCACCUUCCCUCUGGCCCAGGGUGGAGAGGUCCAACCAACAUUCCAAAUAGCUCACGGCAUCUUUUAACCCAUGGAGCACGAGGUGCUGCUUCCCAAAUUUACAGGUGGAAAGUGGGGAGCUGUGAUUUGUGGGAAUGAAGAAGGGCCAAGCAGCAGAUGCCCCUGAGCGUGGAAGGGGUUGGUUUCCAGGGCUGAGAGGAGAAGGCAGAGAUCCAACCCUUCCUGAUGUGAGGCAGAAGCUGCCUGUCUUUCUGAAGCUUGCACAGUUGUGCAGCUCCGACACUUCACGUCCUGGUUUUGCUGCUGGAGCCCCCGCACAGCAGAGAGCUGUGUUGGCUGUGGGUCUGUGUCCUGGUCCCCACUGUCCCCCUCCUUCCCUCCCAUCCUUAUUCCCAUUCCUGGGACCGUGCAGAGCUGCCUGAGAUGUCACCACAGCGAAUUGGUCCCGAGGUGCUGCUUGGAGGGCCUGGCUGCCAGAGUGAUUUGUGAUCAGCCGGCAGAGCCGACACAUCAGGCAGCAAAGAGGGACCUCCUGGAAUGGGAGACAUCCAGCCAGGCAGGGAUGGAGCCGGCCACACAUAUUGGAGGGGCUGUUAAAGAUGCAAACUCGUUAUCUCCCAGGCAAUCCAGAGCCCCUCACAAGGAUAUCAGUGCUGGAGCACACACAGGGAUGAUGGAUGCAUCCAUAGGAGCGGGUCUUGUCUUAUGGAGUGCAUGGAAAGAUGAGCUGGUGACAGACGUGUCUGCAAAUGUGGCCAUCACCCCAAAUACGGCUUGGGAAGAGCUGCAGGGUGUGAGGAAUGGGAAUGGCUGGAAGGGGCGUCAACAGAGUGGGACAAACCAGGGUUGACUGCACAGAGAGGCCUCGGGUGUUGAAAAGCCAGGUGCAGGAGGAGCUGGGAUUGAAGGAGGAGCUGGAGUGGUUGGGUUUAUUUGGUGAUCUGCCUCCCCCUGGGAUUCAAUGCUCCAGGCUUCACUGGAUAAUUAUGCUGCUCUGCUCCUCGUGACCUGUGAGACUCAGCUACGGCCUUGCCUCUGAGGUCAGCAAAGCUAAUUGAGCUGAAUGUCCAGGGACGGCAUCUACGUGGCUCUUUUCAGAGUGGGCUUUUUCCACACCUCUGGAAAAAUGCCAGUUGAAAGGGAAUUGCCCUCUCCUCUGAGCCUGGUGGGACCUGCUGCUCCUGUCCUGGCUGAUCUGUGCCUGGGGGAAGGUGGUUCUUCAGCACAGCUGGAGGGAGAGCUGUUGGGGUCUGAAAAUUUUCCUGCCCCGGUGAGAGACCCCUCCAAACCUAUUUUUAUCUGGCUGUGCAGCUUUGUCUCGGCAAUAACAACGUGCUCACUGUGCAGAGUGAAAUUAAUACAGAGCCACAUUUACCUUGGGAAUAUUUGAGCAAGUUUUUGAAUGAAUAUUCAUUGGAAUUUUCAUGCUCUUAUGUCUUGCUUGGCCCAUCAUGGCUGUAACUGGGCAGCCGGGUCAGCGCUUUCCGGGGCACCGCUUGCCGUGUCAGAAAUGCUGGAAACGUCCCAAAAGACAGCAUCCCCCUCUGAUUUUCUCUGCAGCCUUUGAAGUUGUGGGUAUGAUGUGAAACCUGAUGCUGACACCUGUACUGUGAGGAAAGAGGAGCUGUGCCCGGGUGCAGCUCCUGUCUCCCGUCCCUGUGGUGCUGCUUGGCUGGAGGAGAGGGAGCUUGCAGCCCUGAGAGGGAGCGUGUCCAACACCCAGGAGCCAGGUCACAGCUGCAGGAUAUGCUUGGACUCUGCAAUUGUAAUAAAAGUAUGUAAGCUGACCUGUGGCCAGCUCCACAGAGAGCUCUCAGUGCUGCAGCUAAAUGAGCUGGUGGCAGAUUUGGGCAAAACUAAAAUUAAACCAGGUCAGGUACAGGCAGUAUUGUGGAGCCAGAGUUUCAAAGCACGCUCGCUCUGAGAGAGGGAGAGCAGGAAAAAAACCUUCCUGCGUAUGCAGAGGACAUUUCCAGAGCUCUAAUCCUUUGAUUAUAACAGAUCUUAGGAGAAACUGUGCUACUCCUUGAAGAUGGGAAGGGAAAAAACCCAUAACUAUUCUGAACUGAUGGAAGUGGAGCUGCUAAUCAGAGGAGAAUAAUGAUCUAUUUAUUGGAUGUGAGACAUUUAAUAAUGAAAUACCAACUGUCUCCCCUAAUUCCUGUGACUAAUGGAGAAGGACAUGGUAAAAAGUGCCGGAAGACAGGCUGAGGUGGGGCAGUGGAUGUUUAGACAAGGACAAAGAGAAAACGUGAACCAGAGGCUGCCAGGAGCUUCAGGAGGGAAUGGGGGUUUCCAGGCUGUAUUUCAGGAGAAGGGAAUAAAAUACACCUAUGGAUAGAGCCAUUAACCAGCCAGGGGAGCUGGGGCUGUUGGAGAGGAGCUCAGGGUGCCAGUGCAGUGAUCCUCUCCUGGACUCUGGGAGGGGAGAAUGGCACAUGGGAAUGGCUUGGAUGGCUCGGGGGGGCCGUGCUUGGCACAGCCACCGGACGGAUGAGGCGUGACAGGUGGAUCCUGCUCCAUUCCUGGAGCUGCACGGGCCUCCCCCAGUGCAGUAGCACAGCCUGUAGCUAGGUGCCACUCAGCACCAAGGCGUCAUCAUGUUUUAUGGACUAAGAGAACAUUCCCUAAUGCGCCUUGGAACAUUAUCGUAAAUAAUUAAAUCUGAACUGCAGUUGUCACAGUAAAUGAACAAAAGAUUGUUCCGCUCCCC